CACGUAGGGCGCAAGCGUUGUCCGGAAUUAUUGGGCGUAAAGAGCUCGUAGGCGGUCUGUUGCGUCCGCUGUGAAAACUCGGGGCUUAACCCCGAGCCUGCAAUGGAUACGGGCAGACUAGAGGUAGGUAGGGGAGAAUGGAAUUCCCGGUGUAGCGGUGAAAUGCGCAGAUAUCGGGGAGGAACACCGGUGGCGAAGGCGGUUCUCUGGGCCUUACCUGACGCUGAGGAGCGAAAAGCGUGGGGGAGCGAACAGG
rnacentral:rRNA from 1 species